rnacentral:rRNA from 1 species
UACGGAGGGUGCGAGCGUUGUCCGGAAUCACUGGGCGUAAAGGGCGCGUAGGCGGUCUGCUAAGCGUGUGGUGAAAGCUCGGGGCUCAACCCCCGAGUCUGCCAUGCGAACUGGUGGACUUGAGCACUGUAGAGGCAGGUGGAAUUCCGGGUGUAGCGGUGGAAUGCGUAGAGAUCCGGAAGAACACCAGUGGCGAAGGCGGCCUGCUGGGCAGUUGCUGACGCUGAGGCGCGAAAGCGUGGGGAGCAAACAGG